UUCUCAUUCCUAUUCAGUACUUCGAUCUGAAAGCAACACAAAACAAUUUUACAAAAUUCUUUAAAUUUGAAUAUCAAAUAAAAAGUCAUUUCAUUUUCGAUCAUUUCUAAGCUCGUUCGAUAAGUCGCCAACCAAUUUUCUGCUUUGAGGUAACAAGUGAUCGACUGCAAAUCUAUUAAAUAUGGAUGGUGAAGGUGAGGCAGGAACACCAGCACCAGCUGCAACAACAGCUGGAGGAGAUCUUGUGCAAAGCAAUUAUUGGCUCAUUGCGGGUGCAGUCGCCUUGUAUUCGACUAGGGCUUUAUAUGUCAAGGUCCGCAAUAUGGGCCUGGGCAAGAUGAGCCUUGUCAAGAGCGAGGAACUUUGCUCAGAACGACCAGACCCGCAAGAAGAAUAAUAGUUAAUAACAAGCGAGAGGACGGGAAUACAAAAAUAAACAAGGUAUUAAAACAUAUGGAAGACAGCUUUGAGGCGUUGGAGUGCUUGCGAUUUUAGGGGGUCGCAAGUUAAUUUCAACGCUCUACCUUCUACCUAAGGAUCUCUUAAAAACACACUAAACCAUUGUUGCUGUUGCCUAGUUCAAUUGUUCGUCGUUUGUGCUGCAAUGACAAGUGAGGUGCUUUGAGAAAUAAAUUGGCAAAAUUUACGUUUACCGCAUG